rnacentral:rRNA from 1 species
GAGUCUAGCAUGAAGAUGGGACGUAUAAAUAUUGUCUCUAAACUUAUUAGUUAUAAAUUAAUAUAAGGGAUGAAAAUAUCCUUAAUUUAAAUAAUAGACGAGAAGACCCUUAGAAUUUUUAUUAAACCUUUCAAUAUGAGCAGGGUCUAUUUUUGUUGGGGCAACAUUAUUUCACUGGUUAAUAAAUAAAUAGUAGAGAUUAAACAUUCCGAAUUAUAUUUAAGAUUAAAUUACCUAAGGGAUAACAGCACAAUUUACAUAUAAGUUUGUGACCUCGAUGUUGGA